AAUUUUGGACAAUGGGGGAAACCCUGAUCCAGCCAUCCCGCGUGUAUGAUGAAGGCCUUCGCGUUGUAUAGUACUCUUGGCAGAGAAGAAAAGGUACCUCCUAAUACGAGGUACUGCUGACGGUAUCUGCAGACUAAGCACCGGCUAACUACGUGCCAGCAGCCGCGGUAAUACGUAGGGUGCAAGCGUUAAUCGGAAUUACUGGGGGUAAGGCGUGUGAAGGCGGUUUAGAAAGCAAGAUGUGAAGUCCCAGGGCUCAACCUUGGAACUGAUUUGUUAACUGACGAGCUAGGGGAUGGCAGAGGGAGGGAAAAUUCCAGGUUUAGCAGUGAAAUGCGUGAAAAUAUGGAGAAAUACAGAUGCGAAAGGCAGCCCCCUGGGGAAAUCCGAACGCUCAGACCCAAAGGCGUGGGGGGAAAACA
rnacentral:rRNA from 1 species